rnacentral:rRNA from 1 species
UACGUAGGGUGCGAGCGUUACUCGGAAUUACUGGGCGUAAAGCGUGCGCAGGCGGUUUUGUAAGCCAGAUGUGAAAUCCCCGGGCUUAACCUGGGAAUGGCAUUUGGGACUGCAAGGCUUGAGUGCGGCAGAGGAGACUGGAAUUCCCGGUGUAGCAGUGAAAUGCGUAGAUAUCGGGAGGAAUACCGAUGGCGAAGGCAGGUCUCUGGGCCGUAACUGACGCUGAGGAGCGAAAGCGUGGGGAGCGAACAGG